UUCUUUCUUAUUUAUUUCCCCUGUCUUCUCGUUUGUUUCUUCAUUCCUUCAGUAUCUCUUCAUCAAUUAUGUUCAUUCCAUUGUCUUGUUAAAAUGUCCUCCAAAACCUUCCAUGGAAAUGGAUAUAUUUUUGAAGUCAUAAAUGAGAAACGUCCCAACAUCAUGAUUGAUGAUCAUAACUUCAACAUGUGCAUUUACAAUCAAGAUUGGCUUGGCUAUGUUGCAAUGUUGCAAGGUCCUAUCUAUCCAAACCUUGUGAAACUUUUCUGGAUAUACGCCUCUGUAAGAAGUUAUGGUAGCUGCAUCAGAUCAAGUAUUAAUGUCAUUCCCUUUCUCAUCACUUUUUCUCCAUUACCGAGGCGAUUGGGUGUGUUCCUCAAGCUCUCUCCAUGGAUCAUGAAAAUUUCAUAUUCAUGUAUGUUGAUAUACUCCCAACCAUUCAUGAUACUUCUUCUGGUUAUGAACCUAAAAAUCCAGAUAAGCUUAAACCCCUUGCUAAAGUUUGGUUCCGAUUUCUGUUAA